rnacentral:sRNA from 1 species
UAUAAGCCAAACAAAACUCUACUAUAGAAAGAACGUUCAUAGGACUAUCAUAAGAAGAAGUGGAUUUGUUGCUUUUGGACUAGCAUCAUUCUUAAGGUUUAUGUUAGCUUGCUAAUGUUCUUAGAUUUGGAUUUCGAGCUUUCUUGAUAUCGGCUUGAACUUUAUGCUUUGUAUUUUUAGUGUAUCUUGAUUCCAUUUUAGUUUCCGGAGAAUUCACUGUUUCUUCCGGCUUAAGCCAAACAAAACUCUACUAUAGAAAGAACGUUCAUAGGACUAUCAUAAGAAGAAGUGGAUUUGUUGCUUUUGGACUAGCAUCAUUCUUAAGGUUUAUGUUAGCUUGCUAAUGUUCUUAGAUUUGGAUUUCGAGCUUUCUUGAUAUCGGCUUGAACUUUAUGCUUUGUAUUUUUAGUGUAUCUUGAUUCCAUUUUAGUUUCCGGAGAAUUCACUGUUUCUUCCGGCUUAUGACUUUGGGGACUUUUAGUUGUCCGCUGACUUAGUUUCCUUCUUUUGGGCGUUUGGUUUCUUGUAAGGUUCCAUCUCAAGUUCUAAUAAAAUUUCUAGUGACAAAAAAAAGAAAAAAGAAAGAACGUUUGUGGAACAGACCAAACACUUCAACACGUUGCGCCACGCUAUUCUGCGAACCUUCAAUCAGUUUAUAUACAAUUUUGUU